UACGAAGGGAGCUAGCGUUGUUCGGAAUCACUGGGCGUAAAAGGUGCGUAGGCGGGUCUUUAAGUCAGGGGUGAAAUCCUGGAGCUCAACUCCAGAACUGCCUUUGAUACUGAGGAUCUUGAGUUCGGGAGAGGUGAGUGGAACUGCGAGUGUAGAGGUGAAAUUCGUAGAUAUUCGCAAGAACACCAGUGGCGAAGGCGGCUCACUGGCCCGAUACUGACGCUGAGGCACGAAAGCGUGGGGAGCAAACAGG
rnacentral:rRNA from 1 species